GACGAACGCUGGCGGCGUGCUUAACACAUGCAAGUCGAACGGAAAGGCCCUGCUUUUGUUGGGUUCUCGAGUGGCGAACGGGUGAGUAACACGUGAGUAACCUGCCCUUGACUUUGUGAUAUCUUCAGGAAACUGGGGCUCAUACCGGAUAUGAGCUCCUGCUGCAUGUUGUGGGUUGGAAAGUUUCGGCGGUUGGGGAUGGACUCGCGGCUUAUCAGCUUGUUGGUGGGGUAGUGGCUUACCAAGGCUUUGACGGGUAGCCGGCCUGAGAGGGUGACCGGCCACAGUGGGACUGAGAUACGGCCCAGAAUCCUACGGGAGGCAGCAGUGGGGAAUAUUGCACAAUGGGCGGAAGCCUGAUGCAGCAACGCCGCGUGCGGGAUGACGGCCUUCGGGUUGUAAACAGCUUUCGCCUGUGACGAAGAGUGAGUGACGGUAAUGGGUAAAGAAGCACCGGCUAACUACGUG
rnacentral:rRNA from 1 species